CUGGCAGCUGGUUUCCCUGGUGGUCCAGAAAGAUUGUGAAAAACCAAGAGAAACCUAUGUUGUUUGGGUGUAAGGAAAUCCCUGCACCUUUGCACAGAACCUUGAUCUGAAAACUCUCCUUUGACUCAGGAUACAAUCAACCUUCCUUCAUGAAUCCUGCCUCUGGACCAAGACUGGCUGAAAUACUUGCUUUCUACAGCAAAACCUGAACUACACACGUCUGUCUCCACAACCUGCAAAACACCUAAUUCUGCCAAAGAAGAGAUUUCAAGGUGAGGAUUGAGAAAUGCAGUAUCAAAGAAAUGUCAUUCAACAGCUUUCAUUCAGAUUUUUUUUUUCAAUUCAUCACCACUCUUCAAUGAUCAGGCAUUCUGCUAAAACCUCAAAGCACAGACAAUUUAUCUCUAAUCCAGUAGAGAGUAAUUCUGUGUCCUUUCGAAGUUUUGAACUACAUUUUACAAUCUUGCAGCUCCAAGUGCUAUUUGAGCAGAGUGCAUGUGCAGAAAAACUGAA